GCAUUUUUCCUUCAUAAACAUCCAGAGGAUUUCUCUGUUCAAGACAUGGAGGGGACGGUCAGGCACCGAAUGCAGAAAUGGAAAGCAACCACGCUGGGGAAAAAGAAUGUCAGAUCGGAACCGGGGCAGAUCUGAGAACAGUGAUCUCGGGACAGUGCUAUGGCGUUAGCGGCGAGAAGAUGUUGAGAAAGGGACAAAAACUGUGGCUCCUGAGGGUCUCCCUUGUGGGACCCACCAGAGCCCGGCUUAGAGCCUUUGCCAUCAUGUAGCCUAGGGCACUUUCUCUACAUCUUGCAAGCAUUCCG
rnacentral:lncRNA from 1 species